rnacentral:ncRNA from 2 species
GAAACAUCGAGAGAUGCCAAUUGAGUCAACUGCGUCUGCCCAUUAAGGCUUACGCUAAUGCAGCUGAAGCUCGCUUCUAGGCGUAUAGUGCUAAAACUAAACGAUUGGGAUGCUUU